rnacentral:tRNA from 1 species
GCCUUCGUGGUGUAACGGUAGCACAAUGGGCGCGUAUUCAGGAGGUCCAGGUUCGAAUCCCGGCGAGGACA